UACGUAAGGCCCGAGCGUUGUCCGGAUUCAUUGGGCGUAAAGGGUACGUAGGCGGAUAAGCAAGUUAGGAGUGAAAUCCUAUGGCUCAACUAUAGUAAGCUGUUGAAACUGCUCAUCUUGAGGUAUGGAAGGGAAGGUGGAAUUCCUAGUGUAGCGGUGAAAUGCGCAGAUAUUAGGAAGAAUACCAGUGGCGAAGGCGACUUUCUGGCCAGAAACUGACGCUGAGGUACGAAAGCGUGGGUAGCAAACAGG
rnacentral:rRNA from 1 species